UACGUAGGUGGCAAGCGUUGUCCGGAUUUAUUGGGUUUAAAGGGUGCGUAGGCGGUCUUAGUAAGUCAGUGGUGAAAUACGGCAGCUCAACUGUCGAGGUGCCAUUGAUAACUGUAGGACUUGAGUACGGACGAGGUAGGCGGAAUUGACGGUGUAGCGGUGAAAUGCUUAGAUAUCGUCAAGAACACCGAUAGCGAAGGCAGGCUUACUAGGCUGAUAACGUGACGCUGGAGG
rnacentral:rRNA from 1 species